rnacentral:misc_RNA from 1 species
GAUGAAGAACGUAGCGAAAUGCGAUAAGUAAUGUGAAUUGCAGAAUUCAGUGAAUCAUCGAAUCUUUGAACGCACCUUGCACUCCUUGGUAUUCCGAGGAGUACGCCUGUUCGAGUGUUAUGAAGCUCUCAAAACGCAAUUGGCUUAAAACCUGAUUGUUGUUUUGGAUUUGAACUUUGCCGUGUUAUAACGGCUGGUUUUAAAAGUAUUAGCUGGUACUAGAACGAAUUGGUUCUACUCAACGUGAUAAUUAUCUGAUCGUUGAGGACAUUCCUUUCACGAGGAAUGGCCAUAGUAAAUUCAAUGGACUGCUUCUAAUCUGGCUUUAAUUCUUUAUUGGAUUAACCGCUUUUCAAAUCUGACCUCGAAUCAGGUGGGACUACCCGCUGAACUUAAGCAUAUCAAUAAGCGGAGGA